CAGGUAUUUGAUUUUCUUGGGGGGGUACAAUUUUAAAAGGUAUUAUAUUUUUGUAUUCCUUUUCUAAUAUUUCAUUGUUAGUUUACAGAAAUGCAAAAUGAUUUCUGAAUGUUAAUCUUAUAUCCUGCUACUAUGCUGAAUUUUUUGAUCAGUUUGAGAAGCUUUUGGGUUGAGUCCUUGGGGUUUUCUAUAUAUAGAAUCAUGUCAUCUGUAUACAGUGACAGGUUUACCUCUUCUCUUCCAAUCUGGAUACGUUUUAUUUCUUUUGUUUGAUUGCUGUGGCUAGGACUUCUAAUACUAUGUUGAGUAACAGUGGGGAGAGUGGGAAUCUUUGUCUCAUUUCAGCGUUUAGUGGGAAGGCUUUCAGCUUUCCUCCACUGAGUAUUAUAUUUGCUGUGCGUUUGUCAUAAAUGGUUUUAUUAUGUUAAGGUAUGUUCCCUCUAUACCCCCUUUGUAAGAGUUUUGAUCAUGAAUGGAUAUUGGAGAAUGUCAAAUGCUUUUUCUGCAUCUAUUGAGAUGAUCAUGUGGUUUUUGACUUUUCUGUUUUUAAUGUGAUGUAUGAUGUUGAUUGAUUUGCAUAUGUUGAACCAUCCUUAUGAACCUGGGAUAAAUCUCACCUGGUCAUGGUGUAUGAUCUUUUUUAUAUGUUGUUGGAUUUGGUUGGCUAAAAUUUUGUUGAGAAUAUUUGUGUCUAUAUCCAUCAAAGAUAUUGGCCUAUAGUUUUCUUUUUUGGUUAGAUCUUUCUCUGGUUUUGGAAUUAGGGUGAUGGUGGCAUCCUAGAAUGUCUUUGGGAGUGUUCCUUCUUCUUCAACUUUUGGAAAAGAUUAAGGAGGCUUGGUAUAAGUUCCUCUUUGUAAGUUUGGUAGAAUUCGCCUCUGAAGCCAUCUGGUCCUUGACUUUUAUUUGCAGGGAAUGUUUUUAUGACAUAUUCAAUUUCAUUUCUAGUGAUUGAUCUGUUUAGUUGAUCUGUUUCUUUUUGAUUCCAUUUGGUCAGGCUGCAAGUCUCUAGAAAGUUAUCUAUCCCUUCUAGAUUGUCAAAUUUGUUGGCAUACAAUUGUCCAUAGUAUUCUCUCAUGGUUUUUUGUAUUUCUGCAGUAUCAGUUGAGAUUUCUCCUUUUUCAUUUCUGAUUUUCUUUAUUUGGGUUUUUUCUCUCCUCUUCUUGGUGAGUCUAGCCAGAGGUUUGUCAGUUUUGUUUAUUGCUCUUGGUUUUAUUGAUUUUUUCUACUGUUUUUGAAUCUAUAUUUUAUUUAUUUCCUCUCUGAUCUUUAUGAUUUCCUUCCUUCUGCUGACUUUAGGUUUUGUUUGCUCUUCUUUUUUUAAGUCAUUUAGGUGGUGGGUUGUCUAUUUUUUGAGGAAAAUAUUUCUUCUUUUUUGAGGAAAGUCUAUAUUGCUAUUAACUUCCCUCUGAGCACUGCUUUUGCAGCAUCCCAUAGAUUCUGAGUUGUUUUGUCUUCAUUAUCAUUUGUCUCGAGGUAUUUUUUAAUUUCUUUCUUGAUUUGCUCGUUCACCCAUUGGUUUUUUAGUAGCAUGUUGUCUAGUCUCCAUGUAGUCAGUUUUUUCUCAUUUCUUUUCCUGUGGUUGAUUUCUAGUUUCAUGCCAUGUGGUCAGAGAAGAUAGUUUAAAUAAUUUCUAUACUCUUCAAUUUGUUGAGGUUAUCUUUAUGCCCCAGUAUGUGAUCAAUCCUUGAGAAUGUUCCAUGGCAUAUAUAUUUUAUACAUGGAAAUUUGUAUGUCUUAAUCACUUACCUCAUUUUACCCUUCCCUCUUCUCUCUUUCCCUUGGUAAAUCCUAGUUUGUUUUCUGUAUCUCUGAGACUGUCACUUUUUUGUUAUAUUCAUUAGCUUCUACAUUGUUUUUUUUUAGAUUUGAGUAUUAGUCUUUCUCUGUCUGACUUAUUUCACUUAGAAUAAUAUCCUCCAAGUCCAUUUAUGUUAUUUCAAAUGGCAAAAUUGCAUCCUUUUUUAUGGAUGAGUAGUAUUUCAUUGUGUGUAUAAAUAUGUACAUGUGAUAUAUUUCUCACAUCAUUUUCAUCCAUGCAUCUGUUGGUUAGGUUGCUUUUAUAGCUUGGCUAUAGUAAACAUUAAUGCUAUGAACAUGUAGGUACAUGUAUCUUUGUGAAUUAGUGAUUUUUGUUUUCUUCAGAUAUAUUCCCAGGAGUGGAAUUGUUGAAUCAUAUGGUUGAUCUAAUUUUAGUGUUUUGAGGAAACUCCAUACAGAUUUCUAUGGUGGCUAUACCAAUUGACAUUCUCACUAACAAUGUACAAGGAUAUCCUUUUCUCCACAUCCUUGUCAAUGUUCGUUAUUUGUGGUCUUUUUGAUGAUGACCAUUCUGACUAGUUGUGAAGUGAUAUCUAAUUGUGGUUUUGAUUUGCCUUCCGCUGAUGACAGUGAUUGGACCAUCUUUUCAUAUGCUUGUUGGCCAUCUGUAUGUAUUCUUUGGAAAAAUAUUUAUUCAGGUAUUCUGCCCAAUUAUUAAUUGGGUUGUUUAUUUUUUUGAUAUUGAGUUGUGUGAACUGUACAUAUUUUGGAUAUUAACCCCAUAUUAGUUGUAUCAUUUGCAAAUAUUUUCUCCCAUUCAUUAGGUUGCCUCUUCAUUUUGUUGAUGGCUUGCUUGAUAUGCAGUAGUUUUUAAAUUUAACUAUGUCCCAUUUAUUUAUUUUGCUUUUUGUUCCUUUGCCUUAGCAGACAGAUCCCCUCAAAAAUUGCUAUGGUUUAUGUCAGUGCAGGUGGCUUAGGAGUCCAAGGUGUUUCAGAACGUAUCUUGGCCUGUUAGCAGUUGAGGCCAGGGCCCAGGAUGUUACCAAACACAAGUUCAUGUUCCUGAUGCACAGUGAGGCCAAACAAUUCUGUUACCUUGAAGUGUGGAGCAGAGAAAGUUUUACUGCAGGGUUAUGCGAGGAGACAGGUGGCUUAUGCCCCCACCCCAAACUCCAAACUCCCUGAAGGUUUUUAGCAAAGCCAUUUUAAAGGCAAGGGGAGGGAGGACCAUGGUUAAUUAUUGCAUAUUUUUUGGUAUCAGAUUCUUUGUUCUUGUAGCUGUCCAUGUAGGUCAGGUCACAAUGUUCCUGUAAACCUCCUACAAAACAAAUGUUAAUUCUCAGUUGUGCAAUUUUUUAUCUAAAAGCAUAACACUCUUAAAUGUCAUAGCCUUAAGAAUAGGCUAUCCUGUAUACUUCAGGAUAUAGGCAGCAUCAUUUUGCAAAAGGUGCAAAACCAGGAUGACUUAGUACAAGUGACAGGGGACAAAGAUUGAGGUAGCAUUAAAAUAGAAUGAACAGAUAUAAUAUGGAGUCACAUUUGUUUUUCCCUACUGCAAAGGGAUCCCAGGGAUAGUACUGGUUCACUGGUAGUCAGAGUUGGGUGCCAGGAUCUCUAGCUAUAGGGCCUGAGUAUAUGGGGACCAGUGCCUGUGCACUGGUAUAGGGGGUCAGGACUUGAGCUGUGGUGGACAGGGCCAUGCACUGAACUGGCUUUGAGCUCAGGAAGUGUUAAGGCUGCCUGCUUGCUGGUGGGUGGGGUUGUGUUUCUGCCCAGCUAGUUUCUUGGCCUGAGGUGGCUCAGUACUGGUGCCAAUAGCUAGUGGGUGGGGCUGGGUCAUGGGCUAAUAAACUAGAGAGAGGAUUCCAGAAUGAGGCUUGCCAGCAUCAGUGUCCUUGUGGUAGAAUGAGCUGCCAAAAAUAGCUUCCACCAGUGUCUAAGUGCCCAUGGUGAGUUGCAGUUGCCUGCUGCUUCUCUGGGAACCUCUCUAAGAUCAGCAAGUGAGGUUAAUCCAGGCUCCCUUUAAAUGACUGCUCUGCUGUGGAUCCUGGAGCAUGUGAGAUUUUGUAUGGGUCCUUUAAGAAUGGAGUCUCUAUUUCCCACAGCUCUCUUUGUCUCCUGAAAGUAAGCCCUCCUGGCCUUCAAAGCCCACCUGUUUUGAGGGUUCAUCUUUCUGGGCUGGAGAGCAUGAAAUAGGAACUCAAACCACUCGCUCUACAGGAAGAACCAUUUCAAUUGUAAUGAAUUUCCUGUUUGGGGGUUUCCCAUUGUGGGGUAAGUGUCUUGAAUAUACUUCAACUCCACCACUCCUACCUAUUUGGCUGUGGUUCCCUCUUUAUAUCUUUAGUUAUAGGAGAAUUUUUCUGCUAGGUUCUGCUCUUUCUCAUUAUUAGUUGCUCUAUAAAGAGUUGUAAUUUUGGUGUGCCUGAGCAAGGAGGUGAGCUCAAGGUCUGACUACUCAACCAUCUUGGAAAAGCUAUUUUUAUCAUAGUGUUAAUUUGUGUUUCCCUAAUUGCUAAUGAUAUUAAAUGUUCACAUAUUUCUCUGUUGUUUUUAUAUAUUCUUUGUUAAAGUGUCCAUAUCUUUUGGCCAUUUUCCCUCUCACUUUUAUUUUAAGCAGCAUUAACUUAUUGUAGAAACUAGGUUAGUUGUCUUAUAAAUGCUGCACAUUCUGAAUAUGUUUCCCUAUGCACCAGUUAAUAUAUCGCUUUAUUCCCUAUACUUCCUAUAAAAUGAAGUUCUCCUAGAAGGCUUUAUUAGUUUUAGGUUCAACUCUUUAGGCAAGAAUACUUCACUGAUGGUGCUGUGUGCUUCAUAUGAAAUCACAUCAGGAGGUUGUCACAUUUUUUUAAUGAUACUGACGUUCAUCAAUGGAUCCAGUCAUUAUAAAAAGUUUCCUUAAUUUUUAAUUAGUGAUUGCUGCCUGAAUCAAUUAUUUCAUUAAAGUUUGUAAUUUCAUAAUUUAAAUAUUUUCUUCCAUAUUUACUACAAUAGGAAUUCUUCUGUAAAGAAUAUUUUUUCUUCAUUAACAGUUCAUACAAGGAAAAAUAGAAUAAAUACUUCUAAUUUUCCUUUUAAUUUAGUUUUCAUACUAAGGUGAUGGUACCCUAGAUAUUUCCAAAUUUCUUAAUUGUUGUCAUUGCUUUUUAUUGGAAUUCCUCUACUAAAAUUGAGUAUUCACAUAUGGAGUUCCCAUUGUGGUGCAGCGGAAAUGAAUCUGAUUAGGAACCAUGAGGUUGCGGGUUCGAUUCCUGGCCCUGAUCAGUGAGUUAAGGCGUGGCCAGUAAGUGUAAUGUAGGUCACAUUCGCAGCUUGGAUCUGAUGUUGCUGUGGCUGUGGCAUAGGCUGGCAGCUUUAGCUCCGAUGUGACCCCCAGCCUGGGAACCUCCAUAUGUGGUGGGUGCGGCCCUA
rnacentral:lncRNA from 1 species